ensembl:lincRNA
AACUUUUGAGACAGAGUAUCUAGUUAUAUAGACCAGACUGGCCUUGAAUUUACAGAGACCCACAUGCCUCUGCCUACCCCCAGCUCAUAUUUGAACUGAAGAGUAAUCAAAGAGGUUUGCUUUUCUGAUGCAUUGUCGUUGUAGCUCUGGCUGUCCUGGAAGUCACUAUGUAGACAAUGCCAGCCUCAAACUUUCAAACCCACCUGCCUCUGCCUCCCACGUGCCGGAAUGAAAGCCUGUGAACCAUGUCUGGCUCAGAAGAGUGAUCCAAAAGCACAGAACUUUGCAAACACACAUACACACACAAACACACACACAUACACACCCCUACCUUUCUAUAUGGUAUGCACGUAUACGUACACGCUCUCUUACAAAGUAGCAACCAUUCUCUAAGAAGCCCUUUUUAAUCCCUCCAUGGAUACAUUCUGUUUUUCUUUAUCUAACAAUUACACUAUCAUAAAUAUUCACUUAUCUGUACAUACAUAAUCUUUCUAGAUGGCCAGCUUAAGAAGGGGGUAAAUUAUAUAACUUCCUUAUCACUAAAUCUCUAGCUCCGAAAAUAUAAUAACAAGCAAAUUCUGAUUACAAUGUUUUUAUUUCACAUCAUAAUUCAGUAUUUUGGUUAUGGGGUAAUUAUGAUGAAUCAAUCUAUGUUCUAUCCAUUCAGUUUGAAGGUUCCUGGCCCUGCUCUCAGAUGUUUGAAAACCAGUAUACUACAUAGUUACUAAGCUAGACGUACCAAGUAAGCCCUUUUCUUUUGGUGCACUAGUACCGCUACAAUGUGCUGCGUAAGAUUUCAAAUCACCCAAUUACUACCCAGUAAACUCAUUUUUCUGCUUACAGACCCAUUCCUGACAGCAGACAUCAAAGGUAUUUUCCAUGACGCCAUUUAGAGCAUUGGAAACAUUUUCCAUUUAGAGCAUUUCCCAAGGACAUGACAUAGGGGAGGAACAAGCACAUCCUGCAGUCACAGUGAGCACAGCUGCAGUUGGUUUCCUGUCCUAGGUCUCCCUGCUCCUAGGUUAGGUCAUGGGGUAACCUGAGGAAACACCCCUAGGUGUCAAUCACUGAGAAGAGAGAAAGAAUAAGUACCACACAGUCUUUCAUUUUUUCCAGAUUAAUUUACGUGCGUGUGUGUCCAUAUGCCUACCAUAAGCAUACACAUGGAGGUCAGAGGAAAGCCUGUGGGAAUCGGUUCUUCUUGCACUAUGCUGGUCCCAGGGAUUGAACUCAGGUCCUUAGACUUGGUGGCAGGUUACCACUGAGGCCUCUCACCUUCAGGCCUAAGUGUCUUUGAAAAAAACUUCUGGCAAGGGUUUUGUGGAAAGGUGAACAGCAGUCAUGGCGGAUAAUACCUAUCCACACGUACUUAUUGACAGCAGAGUGCAAUGAAGCAAAGCUCUCUUCAGAGCAGAGGUAGAGGAAAGACCAGGGCUCCAAGCAGAUCCAGGAGCUGCCUAACAAAAGUAUCCCAAGGCGAGGAACAUGGCUCAGCGGUACAACACUUGCCUAGCAUGUGAAAGGCCUUGGACUAACCCCCUGCAAAACGGAAAAGACAGAGGAAAUCCACUCCACUAUCAUUCUGCUUUCAAAUAUAACAACUUCAAAUAAGAACCUAUUUCCUGUCUAACCCAAUAAAUAAAAGUAGUGGUUUUCCCCAUUCAAAUCAUCUAAUUAUGAAAUCCCUGCCUUCAGAAUGUAUAACAACAUAUAAAUUAGGUAACUUAGGACCAGCAAGACAACUUAGCACAUAAAGGCACUUGUCAUCAAGCCAGACAGCCAGUGUUCAAUACAGGGUGGAAUGCACACAUUCAACACAUACAUACAAAAACAGUAUUUAAAAGUUAUAUAAUUUAGCCAGCAGUGGUAGCACAUUCCUUUAAUCCCAGCACUCAAGAGGCAGAGGCAAGUGGAUCUCUGUUGAGUUCGAUUGAGGCCAGCCUGUUCUACAGAGAGAGUUCCAGGAUAGCCAGGGGGGACAUCAUUUUCUAAAUUUACAAAAAUGGACAAUACCAACUCUACAAGUAUAUUUUAAGAAAAAUCUUUUUUUUAAUUAAUUCUAUAUACAAAGUGCUCACAUGUAUUAUAUACAGACGUUUCUAAAAACUGUUGGCAAACAAUAGAUGUUAAGACACCACCCUCAUCUCAACCUUGAACUAACAAGAAGGCUAAUCCUAGCAUCUGGCACAGCUCCAUCAAAAAGGUCUCUGUAGCCAAGCUUGGUAGAGAAUGCCUGCAACCUCAGGGUCCCGGAGGCUGAAGCAGGAGGAUUGUGAUCUUUAAGGCCUGCUGGGGCUAUAUAACACAAAAUCCUAUCCCCUGAACCUAAGCGUCAGACUGUAGGCAGCAUGUGCAGUUCAAUCCACAGA